AGAAACUUUCCACUAAUGAGGUCGUGAAUACGACAUGAAGGGGCGUUCAUAUGGACUCUUCUGGUGAACACCACCACAUCUGACUAACUCUUGUUAUGAGAAGAUGUAGUCCUUAGGAAUCAAAGGUUAAAAUUUAAAAGUUCAAAAUCCAACAUCUUUGGUGUAGGAUACCCACGCAAAACUAGAAUUAUUCAGAGAGUUUAAACCUGACUGAGGUUCUUUGGGCUCCAUCCAAUCAUCA